GGCCUCCCAAAGUGCUGGGAUUACAGGCGUGAGCCACCAUGCCCGGCCAGCAUCUAUAAUAUAUGCUAAACCUUACCCACAGCUGCCUCUGUCUUGGGGUCAGGGUUCUUGAAUGGUCUGGGCCAGCCUGAGUUAGGAGUGGGAAGAGGAAGAGGAGGCACGCGCCAAAGUGUUCUUCCCGCCUGACCGAGUCCUCUGCGCCUAUGAGGAAGGUGGGCACCGCUGUCACCCUGUUUCCCAGGAAGCCAGCAGGCCCAGGGAGAUACUGGGAUUUGCCAAAGGCUCACAGCGAGCAAGCAGCAGUGGGUGCUGGCUCCUCACCACUCAGCCUGGCACACACUGUCUCUGAGCAGACCUGGGAGAAGGCAUGUGAAACCCACCUAGCCCUGGCUGGAAGAGAAGUGGGGGAGUGGAAAUGAAAAGUGGGGACUGGGAGGAGCUGCCCACGUGCCCUCCAUGGUUCCAGGAUGGCACUUUCAUGCUGGGAGUGAGCUUGCCCUGUGCCAGGCUGUCAUUGAGACGUUUUCCAUUCAACAACUGUUUCUCAGACAAGGCACAGGCAGGUUAGCUCUCCCAGGCCACUCAAGUAGUAAGGAAACAGAUUUAAACCCAGACAAUUUGGCUCCACGGCUAAGGCCCAGAGAGGGGUGGUGACAAGCCUAGGGUCACACAGCCACAGCCCCAGAGCUAGGAACUGCUGGCUAGGGCAAGCAGACAGCUGAAUCCUAGCCAACUGGAGGUGGAGCAGAGGUGGAGCCAGGGAGACCCAGGUGGCCUCUCUCAGAGUGGAGCACAGGUGGCAGAGUGGCCCGGGGCAGCAUGAAGUGGUGCUGGGGCCCAGUGCUGCUCAUCGCGGGUGCCACAGUCCUCAUGGAGGGUAAGCCGCCAUGUGCUGGGGUAUGGGUGUGGCCUGGUGGGGGCUCAGGGGCCAUCUCUGCCCCAGCAGUCCCUGCUUCUUGGUGGGGGGACCGCCUGUGGGCGACAGUCCACCAGUGGGGAUGUAACUCCGUAGGACUCUGUGGGGUGGUAUAUGUGGCCACCUGUGUCAACAUGGAUGAGAUUUUCUCGGGCCAGCUGCAGUUUGCGUUGGCGGGGCCUGUGGUCUUGUGUGUGUGUGAGGUGCUGCCUGCGUGUGUCCUGUGCCUGCCUCCCCCUCGACUUCCACAAUGACGUCAGGCAAACUCUGGGCUCCUCUGGCCUCAGUUUCCCUUUCUUUUCAUCCAUCCUCUGGGCAGCCUGGCUCAGCUGUCUCAUGGGGUGCCUGUGUGCCUGUGAGGGGCGGUGGGCAGGGGCCCUCUCUCUGGCGGGCUCUCAGACAGUUUCUGGGAAGGUGGGGAAGACUGAGUCUCUAGACCAGGGUGAGGUAAGUCUCCAUUUCUUGGGGCCCUCCCCACUUGGAAAUGAUGCAGGCCUCUAAUCCUUCCUCUUAGGCCUCUGCUGCUAAGAGGACAAUUAAGCUAAUGCUCUCUACACACACAGGCCGCCUGGCUGACUCAGUGGCGGGGGCAGGAGUUGGGGGUUCUGAAGCCUGGAGGAGGGCUGGCCUACUCCCAAGCUGAACCCCAAGCCCCAGAGUGCUGAGCACAGCUGAAGGAGAAUUAAUUACUGAGUGUGCACACUGAAUAGGUUCCAAUAAAAGCUGUCUCGGCCUCAUAUAAAUAUUUUCAUUCUGGGAGGGGCUGGUAAGGUAAUCAGAGUCACAGGCAAGGACCCUGGGCCCGCCCCCCAGCCCAUCCCCUCUCCUCCCCAAAGCUAGGCAGGCCUGGAGUCCCUGCAUCUUACCUGUGUCUCUCUCUUCCCAGGUCUUCAAGCCGCUCAGCGUGGUAAGGUCUGGGGACACGGGGCCUAGGUCUUACUUGGGUCUGGGUUGGGACUGGGGUGAGGUCAGGACAGGUAUCUGCUGUCAGUGUGACUAACUCCUUUCCACAGCCUGUGGACAGCGUGGCCCCGGCCCCCCCAAGCCUCAGGAGGGCAACACAGUCCCUGGCGAGUGGCCCUGGCAGGCCAGUGUGAGGAGGCAAGGAGCCCACAUCUGCAGCGGCUCCCUGGUGGCAGACACCUGGGUCCUCACUGCUGCCCACUGCUUUGAAAAGUAAGUCAUGGCUGGGGUCAGGCAGGGUCUCCGGCUCUGGGGAGUGGACAAUUUGUCUCAAGCCCCACAAGGCUAGUCCCUGCCUCUAGAGUAAUAAUAAAGAACCAUUUACUGAGAAUCUGCCAUGUACUGGGUACAUAUUGUCAAGUUAAUUGUAACAACCACCUUUCAUGGUAGAAGAUUUACAAAUCAGAAAACUCAGGUUGCAAGGGAAUGACCUCGCUUAAAGUCACAGACUGAGGCCGGGCACAGUAGCUCACGCUUGUAAUCCCAGCCCUUUGGGAGGCCACGGAGGGAGGAUCGCUUGAGCCCAAGAGUUCAAGACUAGCCUGUGCAACAUAGCAAGACCAUGUCUCUACAAAAACUGUAAAAUUAGCCAGGCAUGGUGGUGCACGCCUGUAGUCCCAGCUACUCACGAGGCUGAGGUGGGAGGAUCGCUUGAGCCUGGGAGGUCAAGGCUUGUAGUGAGUCAUGGUCAUGCCACUGCACUGCAGCCUGGGCGACAGGACGAGACCCUACCUCAAAAAGAAAAAGCCGUGGAGUGCUCUCUGCUAUCUUCCACCUACCUGUGGGGUCUCCCAUGGUGUCACUGUCUACCCUUGCACUCAGCAGCCUGGACCUUGUCCUUCCCCUUCCAGGGCAGCAGCAACAGAACUGAAUUCCUGGUCAGUGGUCCUGGGUUCUCUGCAGCGUGAGGGACUCAGCCCUGGGGCCGAAGAGGUGGGGGUGGCUGCCCUGCAGUUGCCCAGGGCCUAUAACCACUACAGCCAGGGCUCAGACCUGGCCCUGCUGCAGCUCGCCCACCCCACGACCCACACACCCCUCUGCCUGCCCCAGCCCGCCCAUCGCUUCCCCUUUGGAGCCUCCUGCUGGGCCACUGGCUGGGAUCAGGACACCAGUGAUGGUAAGUGCUGGCCCAGACUGAAGCUCGGAGAGGCACUCUGCUUGCCCAGCGUCACAGUCUCAGCUCCCAACUGUCCUGGCUUCCAGUCUCCCUUGCUUCCCAGAUCCCAGACUCUAGCCCCAGCCCCGUCUCUUUCACCAGCUCCUGGGACCCUACGCAAUCUGCGCCUGCGUCUCAUCAGUCGCCCCACAUGUAACUGUAUCUACAACCAGCUGCACCAGCGACACCUGUCCAACCCGGCCCGGCCUGGGAUGCUAUGUGGGGGCCCCCAGCCUGGGGUGCAGGGCCCCUGUCAGGUCUGAUAGGGAGAAGAGAAGGAGCAGAAGGGGAGGGGCCUAACCCUGGGCUGGGGGUUGGACUCACAGGACUGGGGGAAAGACCUGCAAUCAGAGGGUGUCUGCCAUAGCUGGGCUCAGGCAUCUGUCCUUGGCUUUGUUGCCUGGCUCCAGGGAGAUUCCGGGGGCCCUGUGCUGUGCCUCGAGCCUGACGGACACUGGGUUCAGGCUGGCAUCAUCAGCUUUGCAUCAAGCUGUGCCCAGGAGGACGCUCCUGUGCUGCUGACCAACACAGCUGCUCACAGUUCCUGGCUGCAGGCUCGAGUUCAGGGGGCAGCUUUCCUGGCCCAGAGCCCAGAGACCCCGGAGAUGAGUGAUGAGGACAGCUGUGUAGCCUGUGGAUCCUUGAGGACAGCAGGUCCCCAGGCAGGAGCACCCUCCCCAUGGCCCUGGGAGGCCAGGCUGAUGCACCAGGGACAGCUGGCCUGUGGCGGAGCCCUGGUGUCAGAGGAGGCGGUGCUAACUGCUGCCCACUGCUUCAUUGGGUGAGUCUUGGAUCCCUCUCUGCUGUGCCCCCUGCCCCUGCCGGCAGCCCUGUCACCUGGUGCCGUCCACACUGCCUCUGCACAGGCGCCAGGCCCCAGAGGAAUGGAGCGUAGGGCUGGGGACCAGACCGGAGGAGUGGGGCCUGAAGCAGCUCAUCCUGCAUGGAGCCUACACCCACCCUGAGGGGGGCUACGACAUGGCCCUCCUGCUGCUGGCCCAGCCUGUGACACUGGGAGCCAGCCUGCGGCCCCUCUGCCUGCCCUAUCCUGACCACCACCUGCCUGAUGGGGAGCGUGGCUGGGUUCUGGGACGGGCCCGCCCAGGAGCAGGUAGGUGGGCACAGGGCCAGGGCUGCUGUCCAUCCAACCUGCAGGCCGGGGCAGCCAGCUUUCCCUUGCUCCACAGGCAUCAGCUCCCUCCAGACAGUGCCCGUGACCCUCCUGGGGCCUAGGGCCUGCAGCCGGCUGCAUGCAGCUCCUGGGGGUGAUGGCAGCCCUAUUCUGCCGGGGAUGGUGUGUACCAGUGCUGUGGGUGAGCUGCCCAGCUGUGAGGUGAGCCCCAGGCCCCCACACCUUACCUAACAGGCCCCUGGCAUCCCCUCACCCAAUAGCUCAAGAACGGACCUUCCAGGCUUGGCCUCUGGACCCACCUCCCACCUGAAACUAAGCCUUUUUGCCAAUUAGCCCCCAAACAGCCAGAGGUUCCCUAGCCUGCUCUACCGUCCUGCACAGCUGCCUAUAAAAAGUCACCCAGUGUCACCUGACCCCUGACAGGGCCUGUCUGGGGCACCACUGGUGCAUGAGGUGAGGGGCACAUGGUUCCUGGCCGGGCUGCACAGCUUCGGAGAUGCUUGCCAAGGCCCCGCCAGGCCGGCGGUCUUCACCGCGCUCCCUGCCUAUGAGGACUGGGUCAGCAGUUUGGACUGGCAGGUCUACUUCGCCGAGGAACCAGAGCCCGAGGCUGAGCCUGGAAGCUGCCUGGCCAACAUAAGUAUGUGGCCCCGGGGCCUCCUGCCAAACCCUGCCUCUCCAGGACCCUUCUCUCUCCAGUGAGAACGUGCCGUUCUAACCCACUCCAGCUGCCUUGGGUAGGGUGGAGCAACAGGCAGACCCAUUUGAUUCAGAUUCUGGUUCUUUGUCAUCGUGUGACUUGGAGCAGGCUGCUCAACCGCUUUGAGCCUCAGUAUUCUCAUCUGUCAUGGCGGCCAAGACAGACCCUGUUCCUUCGAGGAAUGGGGAGGGAGGGAGGGACCAAAGCCGUGAGGAUGAGGACAACUCCACCCUCCUUCCUUCCCCACAGGCCAACCAACCAGCUGCUGACAGGGGACCUGGCCAUUCUCAGGACAAGAGAAUGCAGGCAGGCAAAUGGCAUUACUGCCCCUGUCCUCCCCACCCUGUCAUGUGUGAUUCCAGGCACCAGGGCAGGCCCAGAAGCCCAGCAGCUGUGGGAAGGAACCUGCCUGGGGCCACAGGUGCCCACUCCCCACCCUGCAGGACAGGGGUGUCUGUGGACACUCCCACACCCAACUCUGCUACCAAGCAGGCGUCUCAGCUUUCCUCCUCCUUUACCCUUUCAGAUACAAUCACGCCAGCCACGUUGUUUUGAAAAUUUCUUUUUUUGGGGGGCAGCAGUUUUCCUUUUUUUAAACUUAAAUAAAUUGUUACAAAAUAGA
rnacentral:lncRNA from 1 species